rnacentral:rRNA from 1 species
UCCACGCCGUAAACGAUGUCAACUAGAUGUUGGGAGGGUCUACCUCUUAGUGUCGCAGCUAACGCGUUAAGUUGACCGCCUGGGGAGUACGGCCGCAAGGUUAAAACUCAAAGGAAUUGACGGGGGCCCGCACAAGCGGUGGAGCAUGUGGUUUAAUUCGAUGCAACGCGAAGAACCUUACCAUCCCUUGACAUCCAGAGAAUCUGUUAGAGAUAGUAGAGUGCCUUCGGGAA